rnacentral:rRNA from 1 species
CGGAGGAAAAGAAACUAACAAGGAUUCCCCCAGUAACGGCGAGUGAAGCGGAAGAGCUCAAGCUUAAAAUCUCCAUGUUUUACAUGGCGAAUUGUAGUCUAUUGAGGCUGUUGUCAGCAUAGCGAUUUGGGAUAAGUCCCUUGGAAAAGGGCAGCAUAGAGGGUGAUACUCCCGUCUUUGCUCAGAUUGUCUAUGUGUACGAUACGCUUUCUUUGAGUCGAGUUGUUUGGGAAUACAGCUCAAAGUAGGUGGUAAAUUCCAUCUAAAGCUAAAUAUUGGUGCGAGACCGAUAGCGAACAAGUACCGUGAGGGAAAGAUGAAAAGAACUUUGAAAAGAGAGUUAAAGAGUACCUGAAACUGUUGAAAGGGAACCGUAACAUGUCCAGUGUUGUAUCUUGUGCAUAUUUCAUUAGUGGAGUAAUUACUGGUGCCCUGUGCAUGAGUGUGACGUCAAAGUCAGUUUGUAUGCUGCGGGAGAUGGUUAGCAAGGAGGUGCGUCACUUUUGUGUCAGUUAUACCUUGUUAUCUAGUAGCCGUGGUUGAGACUGAGGUGCCUACAACAUGCUUAUAGAGUAUAUUGUUGUCUCGUUAUUAUACCUGUUUGGAUAGCUUGCUAUGCUGAUGGUCUAUAGUGGCGAUUGAUGAUGGUAUUAACUUUUUGCUGUUCGGGACUUUGACG